rnacentral:Y_RNA from 1 species
GCGACGAAUGCUUGUGGAACUACAUCCCAGGUUCGUGAUGCGGGUUCGACUCCCGCCGGUGGUUGAAAGACCGCCGUAGUUCAAGGGGCAGAACACCAACCACUGUUUCCACACACCCUUGUCGUCGCACC